UACGUAGGUGGCAAGCGUUGUCCGGAAUUAUUGGGCGUAAAGCGCGCGCAGGCGGUUUCUUAAGUCUGAUGUGAAAGCCCCCGGCUCAACCGGGGAGGGUCAUUGGAAACUGGGAAACUUGAGUGCAGGAGAGAAGAGCGGAAUUCCACGUGUAGCGGUGAAAUGCGUAGAGAUGUGGAGGAACACCAGUGGCGAAGGCGGCUCUUUGGCCUGUAACUGACGCUGAGGCGCGAAAGCGUGGGGAGCAAACAGG
rnacentral:rRNA from 1 species